UUCCAAGUUCCAGGGAAGUGUCCUACC
rnacentral:piRNA from 1 species